rnacentral:rRNA from 1 species
AGUGAACGCUGGCGGUAGGCCUAACACAUGCAAGUCGAACGGCAGCACAGUAAGAGCUUGCUCUUACGGGUGGCGAGUGGCGGACGGGUGAGGAAUACAUCGGAAUCUACUUUUUCGUGGGGGAUAACGUAGGGAAACUUACGCUAAUACCGCAUACGACCUACGGGUGAAAGCAGGGGAUCUUCGGACCUUGCGCGAUUGAAUGAGCCGAUGUCGGAUUAGCUAGUUGGCGGGGUAAAGGCCCACCAAGGCGACGAUCCGUAGCUGGUCUGAGAGGAUGAUCAGCCACACUGGAACUGAGACACGGUCCAGACUCCUACGGGAGGCAGCAGUGGGGAAUAUUGGACAAUGGGCGCAAGCCUGAUCCAGACAUACCGCGUGGGUGAAGAAGGCCUUCGGGUUGUAAAGCCCUUUUGUUGGGAAAGAAAAGCAGCAGGUUAAUACCCCGCUGUUCCGACGGUACCCAAAGAAUAAGCACCGGCUAACUUCGUG